rnacentral:rRNA from 1 species
ACGACUCUCGGCAACGGAUAUCUCGGCUCUCGCAUCGAUGAAGAACGUAGCGAAAUGCGAUACUUGGUGUGAAUUGCAGAAUCCCGUGAACCAUCGAGUCUUUGAACGCAAGUUGCGCCCCACGCCUUUGGGCCGAGGGCACGUCUGCCUGGGUGUCACAAAU